UACCACAUUAUCUACAAUAGUACAAGUAAAAGAUCAAAAAUCAAUGUACCGAUAAAUAAAAUAACUCGAUUACCGACAACUACAAGAUAAAAAAUCAAUGUAUAAAUAAAUAAAAUAACUCUAUUACCGACUACAAACUAACCAAAAAAUAUCACAUUAUAACAUCAAUCGUUGAAGGUACAACAUUAUAACUUUUCUUUAUAUAUAACAAUAAAAUAACAAUAGUUAAUAAUUAUAAAAUAUAAAUUACUUGUAAAAAUGAAAAAGAAAAAGAAGAAAAAAAUCAUUUACGUAAAUUUUUCACAUUUAAUAAGAUCUAUAAUUAGUAAAAUUGUAUUUAAAAUUAAAUAAUAAUUUCAUAUUUUUAUUAAAAAUUUCCACGUUUCAAUAUUGAAGUCUGAAGAUGCCAUCCCCGGGAGGUUGGCGAAAUAUUACUGAAUAAAAUAUUUGAAAUUGGAUUGGAUUGCCAGUGAAGUCAUUUUAUAUAAAAUUAAACACCAAUCAAAGAAUGUAUGGAUGUUAUUUCAUUCAUACAUAUUAAAAUAUUAACAACUAAUUAGUUUUAUUGUUUAUGUUUAUAACUAGUGUUUGAUCGGAAGGUUCGUUCAAGAAUAUGCAUGCAAUGUAUAUUUAUUAGAUUUAUUGAAACAAACAAAAAUAUUCAGUGUACUUAGAGGAAAAAAAAUGCAAUUGUUCACAAAUUGUUUACAAAUUCUGAAUUAUUGUAAAAGGGAAAGAGAGCAUACUUUCGUGAGCAAAAAUCGUUACCUUUUUGUUGUGAUUUUUUUAAAAGAAAUCCUAAAAAUGAAACUUCACAAACUUGUUUUAAUGUCACUGGAUUUUAUAAAUUUCCACUAAUAAAUUUUAAUUAAAUUAUUUUAAUUGCCCAUAAAUUUCACUUCACAAACAGAUAAAAAUCACUGCACCCUUUUAUUUUAACGCAGGGGAUGAAUUUAAAUUUAUUGAUAUUCUUGAAUUGAAACUUGUGGUGGUGAAGAUCGAAAUGUCCUUGAAAAUUGUAUGAAUGAUAAAAUUUGAAAUAUCCUUGAGAUUGAAUGAAUGAUAAAAUUUGAAAUAUCCUUGAAGUUGAGUGAAUGAUAAAAUUUGAAAUAUCCUUGAGAUUGAAUGAAUGAUAAAAUUUGAAAUAUCGUUGAAAUGGAAUGAAUGAUAAAAUUUGAAAUAUCCUUGAAACUGAAUGAAUGAUCAUCCUUUAUUGGACGCAAAGCGGGAUCACAGCCGAAAAUAAUACUUUAUAAAAAAAACUUCGAUAACGGGGUCACUCCCGGCAGUAACGAAGCGUAAAAACGAACUGAUUAAUUAGCGGUUGCAGUGACUUUUCUCAACUUUGGAAUAUUAGAUGGGCCCUAUGGUAGGGGCUAUGAGAAAAGACGCAGAAACGCUCUCCCAUAGUUAUUGUUUAUUCAUCAAAAACUUUAUCGAUGAUCCAGCUCUUCCGGCGUUAUCGGAGAUGAAGUACCGAGAAUUAUUAUUUAUUUAAAUAAAUAUGAUAUGCUUUAUAAACAAUCAUAUUUAUUUAAACAAAUCUGAGAUGCUGUCGUCAUCCGAUAAAUUUGUUAAUAAAUAAAUUAUUGAAAGUUAUAGGUAAAUUUUAAAUUAUACAAGACCAAAAUGCUACGAGCACUAAAUAAUAGAUGAAUUUAUAAUUUUGGUAAAGUUAUUCUGAAAUUUGAGGGUUUUACAGCCCUCUGAACGAUCUUUUCUUGAUUUUUAGUAUUAGGAUAACAGCCGGAGUAAGUUGGUAGCUUACUCUCGCUGCAGGCGUUUACUUAUUUAUUCUGGGCCUUGCUCUUAUUGUUUUACUCCGCCCAGUACUCAGGUUACCGCAUGGUAUUCCUGAC